ensembl:lncRNA
AUGGCAGAAGCUCCCUUCCUCUGUCCCAGCCCGCUUCUAAGAAGGAGCCGGACAGAACAGCAGAAGCAGCAGCAACAACGUGACGGAGCGCGCGUGCUCGCAGCUUCCCUCUACUUCAUUCCUCCCCCUCUCCCAGCCCAAUCCUGGCCCUGCCAGGAGCAACCCGGAGCGGGUAGGGCGGAGGCAGGAGGGGGGCUGUGGGAUGUCCUGGCGAAGUUCCUGUGUCUUUCACGUGGUCCCCAGCACGUCUGCCGCGAAAUUCCCUCUUUUGCUCUGCUGGUAUCCUCUUCGGUCAGCGCAGCCGAGGUUCUGAACAUAAUGUUCCCUUAUCCCAACCCCCAGCCCCAGAGAGUGGAAAAUGAUCGGAAUGAAACCGUGUCCAGACUCCAAUCUAACAUGGAGAAAACCAUCUCGCAGCAAAGCCUCCCUAGUGAGGGGAAACAGGCAGCUAGCGUCUCCACCCCCUGGCUGGUGUGGUGUUAGGGGGAGGAAGUGAGGGCAAGGCUUGUUGGCUGCCAGAGACGGAGCGUGAACUGGUGGGGAUCCCGUUCCAUUCGAUAAGUACAUUCUAAACCGCCUCCUUUGAGUUCAAGGCACGUAUGGAAUAAAUAAGACAGCCCCUGGCCUCAGGAAGUUGUAAGAUGCAGAGCGUUCUUGAAAACCAGCCCUGCGUAGAAAGGGGGUAGUUUGUGUACAACUAAGAGAAUAGGGCUGCUUUAAAACAGACUCUGCCCACUUCACUCCCAGCUCCUUUACCCUGAGGAGGUAGGAGGGGCCAGAAAUUGGAUCGGAGUGGCAGUCCUCCUCCGCCUCCUCCUGCUUCGUUCCUUACUCCGCUGUUCUUCCUCCUUCUCCUCCCUCCGCCAUCCUGUUUUCUAUUGGAAGCCUUUUUUUUUUUUUUUCCAGCCACCCCCACAGGGACUCAGUUCAGCUCCCCUAAUUUCACUUCAUACCCCAGACGACUUGAACUGAAAGGAAGUGUAGGCUUUGGAGAGAAAUUACAUCCUGAACCCAGGAGUUGGAGAAAAGAUUGGGCAUCCACUGAAGUGGAUUAGGAUCGAAAGAAUAUAAGAGUAAAAGUCAGAUACGCUGGAUUUGAACCCUGGCACUUGCUCUCUGUGUAAUAUCUAGCUAGUCAAACUCAAUCUGACCCAACAUUUAUAAAGCACCUACUUUGUGCAAAGCGUCCAUAGUUCAAAUUAUAUUUGGACCUUCAGGCUCUCUUUUCAGCUGCCACAGCUGGAGCAGAUGAGUCCAAAUGACUGAAGCACCUACGCAUUAUGUGUUAGUUAAAGUAAACCUCCUCCAUCACCACCUCCUGUCACACCUGGUUAGACACAUCACAGCACCCGGUGCAGAAGAGAUCAAAGAUAAUAACAGCGGCCCUCCCAGACAGCCCUGCUUUUAGAUGGGCCCGAAGUCAUUCCAAUCCAGGAGAACAAUCCCUGUAGCAAUACAACGAUCAACCUGCUGCUGCAGUACACCUGGAAAGAAAGUUCUCACCAAAGUCCUUGGUUUUGCCAAAUGAUUCAGAAAUGGAAUGUUUUGCUUUUUUUUUUUUUUUUAAAUCAAUGGAAAUGGUUUCUCAAUGGAAAUGAAAUUAACAAAUUUGGUGAAUAUCUCCAUAUCUUCUCCCUGCACAGCAAGGACCACAGAUGGAUCCUUUUCAUCUUUUUUACUGCUUAAACAUCUGUUUGGGAAUCCAAUGACUCCUGAAGAAUCCUCCAUUAGAUUGUAAAUUCCUUCCUUCCUUCCUUCCUUCUUUCCUUUCUUCCUUCCUUCCUUCCUUCCUCCCUCCUUCCCUCCCCCCUUCCCUCUCUUCCUUCUUCCCUCCUUUCCUCCCUCUCUCCUUCCCUCUCUUCCUUCCUUUCUCCUUCCCUCCCUCCUUUCCUUCCUUCCUUCCUUCCUUCCUUCCUUCCUUCCUUCCUUCCUUCCUUCCUUCCUUCCUUCCUUCCUUCCUUCCUUCCUUCCUUCCUUCCUUCCUUCCUUCUACUAUAUUUGUGCCAGAUUUAAAAAGGACAUUCAAUAGUAUUAGCCUUCUGCUGCACAGAAUUGAUAAACCACCCUUCUCAAAUGAGGAAUUACAAGUGUUUGAUGCCAUUCUCAACUACAAUCUUACGUUUCUAGUCAAAGCUGGAGCUUUUAAGCAGAGUGCUUUGCACAUAGUAAGAGUUUAGUUUUUUUUUCAAUUAUUUCAUUCAGUCUAUGAAAUUUUACUAUUGAAUGAUUGCUGAUUGAACACUGCCUCAUAUUUUCCUUAAGAUGAGUUAGGGAG